rnacentral:rRNA from 1 species
AGAAUCAACGCUGGCGGCGUGCCUCAGACAUGCAAGUCGAACGCGAAAGUCCCCUUCGGGGGGCAAGUAGAGUGGCGCACGGGUGAGUAACACGUAGGUAAUCUACCUUUGGAUGGGGAAUAACAAUCGGAAACGAUUGCUAAUACCGCAUAAUGCAGCGGCACCUAAUGGUGACAGUUGUUAAAGCGGGGGAUCGAAAGACCUCGCGUCUAAAGAGGAGCCUGCGGCGGAUUAGCUAGUUGGUAAGGUAAUGGCUUACCAAGGCUACGAUCC